AUUAUUCUGACAUGUCACAUUCUUAAAAUGAAGUGGUGAUCCUAACUGACCUAAGACAGGGAAUUUAUACUAGGAUUAAAAUGUCAGGAAUUGUGAAAAAAUGAAUUUACAUUCAUUUGGCUAAGGUGUAUGUAAACUUCCGACUUCAACUGUAUAUAAAUGUUGAGGUAAAAUUCCCAUGAACUGAAUAAAAAAUACAAGUUAAAUGGGUUUCCAUGCAUUUUCAAAUGUACUGAUUGUUUUCUCACCAAAAAGAGGUAGUUUAUAUAGUGAGUGUGCCUUUGCAUGUGCCCUCUAACCAACCAUACAUGGUGAGAUUAUAAUGGACCAAAAAAUAUAUUUUAAUUUGUCAAACAGGCAGUCAAGCAUCGAUGAUCAUGUCACCAGAAUAAGACCCUCGAUAUUUAUUGGAAAGCAGCAUCAAGCUCAUCAUCUUGCACUUUCACCACCCUGUGAAGUUCAUAACUUAUUUCAUCUGUAGCCUAAUAAACUGCAUGCUUUCCCGACGAGUCUGAGUGGGAGGACCACACAAUAUGUCCUAUGUUGGUUAUUAUAUCAAUAUUUGCGUACUAAAAACGUUCCCACCGACAUUUCUUGCAUAAUUGACUUUACCGACACAAAAAGAUCCCACCUUGUCUAUCGUAUUUCGUUUUUUCAAAAUGUUAAAAGUUUACCGACAAAAAUGUUCUGUUUCCAUCAGGCCUGUCGUGACAUGUUUUAUCCGACAUGUAGACCUACUUUACUGCAUAAAAAGGUUCGACAUGUAGACCUACUUUACUGCAUAAAAAGGUUCGAUGGAAACCUGGUUGGUGUUAUGAUGACACGCAUUCAUCAACAAUAAGACAGCUGUUGUGUUUGGUUCACAUCAAUACGGGAUGAUGUGGCAAACAGCUCACACGCCAAAACAAUAGCCUGCCUUAUCACUGAUAGUUGCCGUAGAGAUGUGUGAUGUACAAUCACGGAAAUCCCCACUGGAGAAGCUCACAACACAAUCAGCUCACUGCACAUUGGAACCAUCCACUACAUUUAACGCUACUUGUAUAUCCAUAUCCUACACGAGGCCCCAACUAACUAACUCGUGUACUGAUAUCCUGGUGAACCAUUCCAGUGCCAUUAACCAGGAAGCCUGGAGACACCCAUGAAGAAGGUGGACCUUUAUGUUGGGCGUCAACCUCCGAGGGACCUAUCUGACCCCACCAUGUCCUUCGUGUCAGGGAAGCUGAAGGAGACAUGAGCCUGGCUUUCAAGAUGGAGAAGAUGUCCCCGAUGAAGAAGUCUAAACUCUAACUAGUAACUAUUGGAAGAUGAUGUGUCUGAAAUGGCUGUAUAGUCUCUAUUUGUGGUGCGUUUCAGAUAACUGUGAACACAUAUCACUUUCUGACGGCCAUCCCUUUUGAUUGGAGCAGUACCUUCCACAGGCUACGUGUUUGCCCCGGGUAGAAGUGUCUUCAUCACAGAAAAACAGGACCGGUUGAGUUUCAUCAAAUUUGAACGCUUACAAACAAUUUGAUAAUUUCUUGAAUAUUUGUAAUUUUUUAACGUCAUUUUAAUAAAAAAAAAAAACGUAUAACCCUUUACAACUUGUUUACAGGUUGAAAUGGCAGAUUCUAUCAUUGAUACGUGCCUAAAUUGGAACGCAGUCACUGUACAGUAACAUGGCGUCAGAACUCAGGCUCUUGGCUUUGCAGCGCAGCAUGGGUUUAGACUGACAGACGCUCAGAGAGUGAGCACCGUGCGCGACAAGGCGCUCCCCCAUCCCUCUCCCCUAAUUGGACAACUUUUCCUCAUUUGUUGUCUGAGAGAGGAAUUCUGUAAAUGGAGAGGAGUCGAUGUGUUCUGAACGAUGAGACGUUGAGGAUUAUAAUAAAUACCGCUUUGAUGUCAUUACAAGCAAA
rnacentral:lncRNA from 13 species